rnacentral:rRNA from 1 species
AUUGAACGCUGGCGGCAGGCUUAACACAUGCAAGUCGAGCGGGGUGAUGGUGCUUGCACUAUCACUUAGCGGCGGACGGGUGAGUAAUGCUUAGGAAUCUGCCUAUUAGUGGGGGACAACAUCUCGAAAGGGAUGCUAAUACCGCAUACGUCCUACGGGAGAAAGCAGGGGAUCACUUGUGACCUUGCGCUAAUAGAUGAGCCUAAGUCGGAUUAGCUAGUUGGUGGGGUAAAGGCCUACCAAGGCGACGAUCUGUAGCUGGUCUGAGAGGAUGACCCGCCAGACUGGGACUGAGACACGGCCCAGACUCCUACGGGAGGCAGCAUUGGGGAAUAUUGGACAAUGGGGGGAACCCUGAUCCAGCCAUGCCGCGUGUGUGAAGAAGGCCUUAUGGUUGUAAAGCACUUUAAGCGAGGAGGAGGCUCUUUUGGUUAAUACCCAAGAUGAGUGGACGUUACUCGCAGAAUAAGCACCGGCUAACUCUGUGCCAGCCGCCGCAGUAA